AAAGAGGGUAGUUUUGCACUGUUCAUAUUCAAUAUAUGACUGUCCUUCUUAUUUAAAAAUUUUGGUAUAAUUAGUAUUUAUUAUUAUUAUUAGAUGAUAAAAUAUAAAUAAUAUUUUAUGUGUGAUUGAUUUUUUCAUAAUUUUUUAAAUAAGACGAACUGUCAAACGUUGAAUACAGAAAUCCAAAUCCAUAGCCACACUUAUA
rnacentral:pre_miRNA from 1 species